rnacentral:lncRNA from 1 species
UGACCCUGCUGCUGAGGUAUCCGUUGGUGAAGGAUGACUUUUUAAACAGCAAACACUGCCCUCCAACUGAGAUGCAACCAAAUAUGCUCAACUGCGAAACGUUUUUGCUUUAGGGACUGAUUAGUUCAAUCAGACUUCCAAGCUGUAAUUAAAGAUAUCCUAGCAAUAACAGUCUGGAUGAUGGAAGGAUUACAGACAGACAGAUGUUGUUUAAAACAGCAAAGAAAGAAUAUCCACAAGACAGCCUGUCAAUUUGCAACCAACUGAUCCCACAGCACUCGGCCACAUCUCGUCUUCGCCUUGCAAAAGAAAUGGAACCACCUCUGGGAUGGAAAGCAACAGCUUACAGCACGCAGCAGUACUACACAACAGAGGCAACAGAGUGUAUCCAACAACAGCUGAAGUAUGAUCCUCAUCAAAGCAAUCAUUUUCCUUCAUGGGAGAAGAAUGAGAGAAAACAGGUUAGCAGGGGAACAUUUUUAAUAAUUACUGGGAAAUAGAUGGCUUAUCAUAAAAUAUAUUUGAAAAAUAGUACAAAAAUGCACAUGACAAUUGGUGGAUUUCUUUUUUCUCCCUUCAAGAAUAAAUGUACAGUAUAACUCA